rnacentral:misc_RNA from 1 species
GAUGAAGAACGCAGCGAAAUGCGAUAAGUAAUGCGAAUUGCAGAAUUCCAGUGAGUCAUCGAAUCUUUGAACGCACAUUGCGCCCCUUGGUAUUCCAUGGGGCAUGCCUGUUCGAGCGUCAUUUGUACCUUCAAGCCUUGCUUGGUGUUGGGUGUUUGUCUCGCCUCUGCGCGCAGACUCGCCUCAAAACAAUUGGCAGCCGGCGUAUUGAUUUCGGAGCGCAGUACAUCUCGCGCUUUGCACUCAGAACGACGACGUCCAAAAGUACAUUUUUACACUCUUGACCUCGGAUCAGGUAGGGAUACCCGCUGAACUUAAGCAUAUCAAUAAGCGGAGGA